rnacentral:rRNA from 1 species
ACUCAAAUGAAUUGACGGGGGCCCGCACAAGCAGCGGAGCGUGUGGUUUAAUUCGAUGCUACACGAAGAACCUCACCAAGGCUUGACAUGUUAGAAGUAGUGAACCGAAAGGGGAACGACCUGUUAAAUCAGGAGCUAUCACAGGUGCUGCAUGGCUGUCGUCAGCUCGUGCCGUGAGGUGUAUGGUUAAGUCCUGCAACGAGCGCAACCCUUAUUGCCAGUUAUAUUCUCUGGCGAUACUGCCUCGCAAAACGGGGAGGAAGGUGGGGAUGACGUCAAGUCAGCAUGGCCUUUAUGCCUUGGGCUACACACACGCUACAAUGGACGGUACAAUGGGUUGCCACCGGGCGACCGGGCGCUAAUCCCCAAAACCGUCCUCAGUUCGGAUCGCAGGCUGAAACCCGCCUGCGUGAAGUCGGAGUUGCUAGUAAACGCGUGUCAGCAUAGCGCGUUGAAUACGUUCUCGGGCCUUGUACACACCGCCCGU